GCGGCUUCCGGUGGGGCGUUAAGACACAGGGGCCCUCCGCCUACUCCCCGGGCCGCGGGUCCUUUUCUCUACAUCCUCACCAAUUCGUAUCUCAGGUCUUUUUUAUGAAAGCCAUCCUGGCAGGUCCUCCAUUCCUCCCUUUGAAUAGGAGAGCCCUGCAACACUCUAGCAGUAUGUUGUUCUCAGAAGUUGGUCUCUGUGAGCAAAGUUCUGCAGCAAAAAGAGGGCCCUGUCAGGCCACCAGACUCAAAGAAGAGUAAACUAGAAGAGGAGGAGAAGGAAAAGGAGAAAAGACAAAGAUGAGGACGAAAAGGAUGAAGAUGAACAAUAAAUGACUAGCCUGUAAUGAGGUGUGGAGUAUGCCUGUGUGCUCAGCCCACUGUUGUACUAAGAAUUAAAGAUUACCAAGAAUUAAAGAU